rnacentral:rRNA from 1 species
CGUAGGGUGCGAGCGUUAAUCGGAAUUACUGGGCGUAAAGCGUGCGCAGGCGGUUUAGUAAGACAGGCGUGAAAUCCCCGGGCUCAACCUGGGAACUGCGCUUGUGACUGCUAAGCUAGAGUACGGCAGAGGGGGUGGAAUUCCACGUGUAGCAGUGAAAUGCGUAGAGAUGUGGAGGAACACCAAUGGCGAAGGCAGCCCCCUGGGUCGAUACUGACGCUCAUGCACGAAAGCGUGGGUAGCAAACAGGAUUAGAUACCCUGGUAGUCCACGCCCUAAACGAUGUCAACUAGGUGUUGGGAGGGUAAAACCUUUUAGUACCGGAGCUAACGCGUGAAGUUGACCGCCUGGGGAGUACGGCCGACAAGGUUA